rnacentral:rRNA from 1 species
UAGUCCUAGCCGUAAACGGUGUGCACUUGAUGUAGGAGGAAUUAUCCCCUUCUGUGUCGAAGCUAACGCGAUAAGUGCACCGCCUGGGGAGUACGGUCGCAAGAUUAAAACUCAAAGGAAUUGACGGGGGGCCCGCACAAGCGGUGGAGCAUGUGGCUUAAUUCGAUGCAACGCGAAGAACCUUACCUGGACUUGACAUGUAACUGCACGCUGGGCGAAAGCCCGGAAGCCUUCGAGGGUGUUACACAGGUGCUGCAUGGCUGUCGUCAGCUCGUGCCGUGAGGUGUUAGGUUAAGUCCUGCAACGAGCGCAACCCCUGUGACUAGUUGCCGGUGCGCAAGCACGGAACUCUAGUCAGACUGCCUGUGAUAAGCAGGGAGGAAGGGUGGGGGAUGGACGUCAAGUCAGUAUGGGUCCUUAUGUCCAGGGGCU